UUGGUUUGCAAGAAGACUGUGAUUUAGUCUUGGGGAAUUGCCCGCCGGGAUCCACAUGAGGAACAUAGAUCGCAGGAAGUGACGAAAUUCGUCCAUGUGUAAAAUUCUGAUCUGGUUGGAAAGCAACCCAAGCACUACACAUCAACGACAGGGAAUACGUGGUAUCGUCGUGCUGCUCCUGUGCAAAGGACUGAAAACACUAAAAUAAAAUAAAUUUCUAUAGUUCUUUGUCUCCAUUUCCAGUGCUGUAGCAUAUACAAGCAUAGACUAUAAGAUAUCGUUAAUUAACCUUGUAUGACGAUAAAGCGACGGAGAAUUAUAUGAGCUGCAAUUCUUCAAAACAAGUUCAAGAGGAGGAAUAUUUACUGUAGAACAUGACAUAUCUCCGUGGGAAGGAAAUAUACGGGAAAAUAUAUAUCCGUGUGUGUGUGUGUGUGUGUGUGUGUGUGUGUGUGUGUGUGUGUGUGUGUGUGUGUGUUUACAUCGAACAAAGUAUAUAUCUUUUUUGGGAGCCAUUGUUUAUUUUCUUUUUUAUACCAGCACCGUGUAGCGGACAUUCACUUUUUUUUUAGUCUCCGGUCCAUCUCCCUUACCGAGAAAAAAAUGUGCUUCGUUUGUUUGUUACUCUUUAUGUACGCUGUAGUUGUUAUUCAUGAUGUUUACCUACAUUGUUACCGAUUACACACACACACACACACACACACACACUAACACAGACCAAGGGGUAAAGAAAGCAGUUUGGUGUACACGGCUAUCCUUUAUAACCACACACGUACACACGCACGUACACAGUCAGGGCCCCAGGUGGUGAUUGGCAGGCGGACAGGUGCGGCGGGCAGGUACAGGAGCAGACAGGUGAGUUGAUCAGCGAGCCACCUGUUACCCCUGCAUCUCCUCCUCCUCACCUUUACCCCUCGCGCACAGGUGUUACGGUGCUCUUGUUUCUCACCUGGGGCCGCGAACACCUGGAUGAACCUUUAUGAAAAAAUAUAUAUACCCCUUUACACCUUGAUUUCUGUACAUUAUGUUGAGUUUACGUCGCCUUCGUCUCGUUUUAUUUCCCUUUGACACGUAACAGGAACGAUAUGAGUGUGCCUGAGUCUUGUACAGUACACGAAGGGUUCUGUAUAUGUUUGUUUUGUUGAUGUUAUUUUUUUACAGUAAAGGAAGCAACUCAAGGGCAAAAAUAAUAUGAGAGAAAAAAAAGCCCGCUAGUUACUUCCUUAAUAUGAUUUUAAAGACUUAGUGGAAAUUUAUACAAAGGCAGAUGUGUGUAGAUAUAUAUAUAUAUAUAUAUAUAUAUAUAUAUAUAUAUAUAUAUAUAUAUAUAUAUAUAUAUAUAUAUAUAUAUAUAUAUAUAUAUAUAUAUAUAUAAUGAUAACUUUACAUGUAUAUCUUAACAGUAUAUAAUCUUUUUUUUUAUAAUUUACAGAAUAAUUUAUUAGAGUUUUGUUGUAUCAUAAAAAGACGAGAUUGUAACAAGUUCAGUACAUGGAUUCUUCUUAAGGGUCAACAUGUGAUGGUUCUUGUUUGUUUGUUUGUUUGUUUUCUUUAAGAUUAAAUAACAACGUGAGAAAGUCUCGAUUGUAUUUUGUUUUUAUGGAAGAAUCUUGGCAUAGCUUCUUCUUUAUCACAGACACACGACGCGCACAGACCAACAGACAAAUAAAACACAAAAAUAAAAUAGUUGUGAUAGUGGAAAUUGUAGUUGUAGUAAUAGUAGUAGUAGUAGUAGUAGUAGUAGUAGUAGUAGUAGUAGUAGUAGUAGUAGUAGUAGUAGUAGUAGUAGUAGUAGUAGUAGUAGUAGUAGUAGUUGUAGUGGUAGUGGUAGUAGUAGUAGUAGUAGUAGUGGUAGUAGUAGUAGUAGUAGUAGUAGUAGUAGUAGUAGUAGUAGUAGUAGUAGAAAUGAUAGUAGUGGUAGUAGUAGUGGUUGUAGUAGUAGUAGUAGUAGUAGUAGUAGUAGUAGUAGUAAUAGUAGUAUUGGUAUAGUGGUAGCGGUGGUAGUAUUCUGAGCCGUGUUUUAUCCUUUAUUACUCUCACUACUCUUAAAUAACAGCUUUACAGCCCACUAGACAAUACUCAACAAAGAAACGAUAAAAUCAAUAAGCCUGCACAAAAAUAGUCGCCUUAAUCAUAGCACUAAUCAUACGCCUGACACGAAAUGCAUAGUACUCGCUUAAACAUACACUAUUAUUUUUUUACACUAUUUUAUACGUAUAUUAACUCUGUCUUCCUCUGCCGGGCCGCACUAUACAGGGGACGCUUUGUUGAACGUGCUGGCUAACGAUGGAAGAGGGUUGGCGAGGGAUUGUAAAAACUACGGUACGGUAACGAUAGAACGAUAGGAAGAGGUUGUUAUUGACGAUGAACGAGGAAAACACGCGAUUAUACGUACAGCGGGAGGAUGUGUUUGGUAUAUUGCUCUUCACACACACACACACACACACACACACACACACACACACACACACAUGCAGGAAGACGAGUACGUAUAGUCAUCGCGUGCUCACCUAUGGAAAGAACAAUUAACGGUGCUUUAAAUCAUUCCUCAGGUGUGUGCGCGCUACGGAAGCUCAAGACCCUACCUGCCCCGCUCACCUGCCGCCCGUCUGACCAGGUAAGCGGCGCCCGGCUCGUUGUUUGCCUUCGAUUGUCUGCUCUUACUGUUCUGGUAUUGUAUUUUUUUCCUUCUUCGUUCUUGCUGGCUUCAUUACCCCCUGCUUUCAUUAACACUGUUUUGCCUCUGAUUGCAUUCGUUAACUGUUCUAUUUUUUUUUAUAUAUUUUCUACUUCAUUACUUCUAUUUUAACGGUCUUCUUUUGUUUAAUUUCCCUAAGUAAUCUUCUACCUUUGAUUCUCUUCACUAACUUCUAUUUUUACAUUUCCUACUUCCAUCCUUAUCUCUAUUUUAACUGUCUCCUUUUGUUUAAUUUCACUAUGUAACCUUCUACCUUCCAUUUUCUUAACUAAACUGUUGUAUUGUUACAUUUUUACCCCCCUCAUUACCUCUAUUUUAACUGUCUACUUAUGUUUGACUUCACGAACACAAGAUUACCUUCGAUUCUCUUCACUAACUUCUAUUAUUACAUUUUCAUCUCCUUGCUCCAUUACCUCCAACUGUUUCCUUUCGUUUGAUACCACUAAGACAAUAUUAUCUUCUUUCUAUGUAACUUAUCUGCGUUCUUUUGAUCUCACCGACACUAUACUACGGUUUCUUUUCUCUCAGUUCUUGUGCUUGGAAUCACUGUAUAACGUUUUUUCUCUCUCUCUUCACUAACGCUAAGAUGUGGAUUAUUUUCUAUUUGUAUUUUUCUUUCUCUAAAGCUACAUUUCAUUACCUUUUGUCUCUUGAGUCUUGUUUUCUAUUAUUUCAACUUAUUUUAUGGUGAUUAUUUUCUGGUUUCUCUUCUCGUUUUUUCUGUUUCUGUUUGUUUUUGAACCUCCUCUUAUUUUUUUGUUAUUUUUUUUAUCUGUUAUGUUGUUUAUUUGUGUGAUUAUUGUUUCUGGUCAUGUCUUUUGAUGUAGUAUUGUCUACACACACACACACACACACACACACACACACACACACACACAAACACACA